UACGUAGGGGGCGAGCGUUGUCCGGAAUCAUUGGGCGUAAAGCGCGCGUAGGUGGCCCCAUAAGUCCGCUGUGAAAGUCAAAGGCUCAACCUUUGAAAGCCGGUGGAUACUGUGGGACUAGAGUACGGAAGAGGCGAGUGGAAUUCCUGGUGUAGCGGUGGAAUGCGCAGAUAUCAGGAGGAACACCAAUAGCGAAGGCAGCUCGCUGGGACGUUACUGACACUGAGGCGCGAAAGCGUGGGGAGCGAACAGG
rnacentral:rRNA from 1 species